CAUGAACGCUGGCGGCAUGCUUAACACAUGCAAGUUAAACGGCUUUAUUGGAAACAAUAAAGCAGUAACGGACGGGUGAGUAAUGUGUAAGAAUCUACCCUUAGGAGAGGGACAACAGUUGGAAACGUCUGCUAAUACCUCAUAAUGCUAUAAAGCUAAAGAGAAUUCGCCUAAGGACGAGCUUGCAUCUGAUUAGCUUGUUGGUGAGGUAAAGGCUUACCAAGGCAACGAUCAGUAGCUGAUUUGAGAAGAUGAUCAGCCACACUGGGAUUGAGAACGGAACAGACUUCUACGGAAGGCAGCAGUGAGGAAUUUUCCGCAAUGGGUGAAAGCCUGACGGAGCAAUGCCGCGUGAAGGAAGAAGGCCUUCGGGUUGUAAACUUCUUUUCUCACAGAAGAAAAUAUGACGGUAUGUGAGGAAUAAGCAUCGGCUAAUUCCGUGCCAGCCGCCGCGGUAAUAC
rnacentral:rRNA from 1 species